rnacentral:tRNA from 1 species
GGAGUAGUUCAGUUGGUUAGAGCGUCAGAUUGUGGUUCUGAAUGUCGUGGGUUCGAGUCCCACCUUC